UGUGAAGACAAAACUCCCAGUCCCCCAGAAAAGUGGAGGCAGAAGAGCAGUGACAAGGCAUUGUGUUCAACUUAAAAAGGAACGCAUGAAGAAUAGCUUUGUUUGCAUUCUGGUGAGUGUUUCUCUUCCAGAUCUUUGAAUCAGCUUUCUACACGCUUAAGUGAUGGAACAGGAAAGACUCCAAUAUGGUAAAAACGUGAUUUCUAGUGUUUUGGAAAGAUUGUUUCACGUGUAAUGAAAAGCUAGUGUCCAGAUGAUCACUGCGGCCAGAUGGCAAUUUUGAUGCCCUCGUCACUAAGACUUGUCCAAGCCCUGAUGUAUGUGAAGCUCAUCAGGAGGGAAUGCUCGCAAGAAUCAGCUAACACAAUAGCAGCAAGCUUUCAGUGACAGCGUUCAGGAAGGGUGACGAUUCAGGCUGGGAGCAGGUAUGUCAUCACCUGACUUGACCACAUGUAACUUGAUGCUAGAAGUACACCACGUCCUCCCUCCCUGCAUGGCAAGAGAUUGCUCUCUUCUCCUGCAAAGGCAGCCAAAGUAACUUCUGUGUGCUGACUAGAGAGAGAAAACUUGGUGUCACUCCUCGCAAGUCCUGUGGCAGCCAGAUACUGUGUUAGCCACUCACAGGUAGCAUGUCUUUGGUAUCAGGGUGUAAGAGAAUGAACUCUGUAGGAGCGCUGCUGUCAUAGGCCACCAAGGGCCCGGGAUGCCUGGCUGAAAUUUGAUGUUGCAGAUACCUUGGUGUCACUGGAAUCCAUGGAGUUGACACAGUCCUCUGAUGGCUGGAUUUCGGCUUUCUAAGGGUAUUCCUUUCUGUUUCUCAUCUUUUCGGGUGAUAUUGCUUUGCUUUCCUUGGCUUUUUAGUAAUUCCUAUUUGGUUAUUGUUUCUGGAAUGGCUUUGCUUUGCUCCUUGGUUUUUUCUUUUGUAUCUUUGCCUUGCAUUGCUUGUGAAUUUUCAUUUAUUCCUUCUCUUCAGUGCAAAGCAUUGGUGAGUGCUUUUCUCUUUGUACUGUGUUUGGU